rnacentral:pre_miRNA from 2 species
AGAUCGGUACAGUGGCUUUGGCUUGAAUAUAACAAUACCAAAGCUUCUCGUACCCAUCCUU